ACCUCCAAUCAGUCAAGAAUACCCGCUGAAUUUAAGCAUAUUAUUAGGCGGAGGAAAAGAAACUAACCAGGAUUCCCUCAGUAACUGCGAGUGAAGCGGGAGAAGCUCAGACUGAAAAUCUUCGGAAUUGUAGUCUGGAGAAGCAUGGUCAGCCGAUGGUCUCGGGCAAAGUCUUCUGGAAAGGAGCGCCUUGGAGGGUGACAGCCCCGUUCAUGCCUGAGACUAGAAGCGUACGACCUGCUUUCUACGAGUCGAGUUGUUUGGGAUUGCAGCUCUAAGUGGGUGGUAAAUUCCAUCUAAAGCUAAAUAUUGGUGGGAGACCGAUAGCGAACAAGUACCGUGAGGGAAAGAUGCAAAGAACUUUGAAAAGAGAGUUAAAUAGUACCUGAAAUUGCUGAAAUGGAACCGUUGGGAGGCAGUGUCGGUGUGGGUACUUGUAUCCGCACAAGCCAGGCUUCUUUUGCGGCGCGGGAGAGGCUUUAGAACCUGUAUGGGUCUAUUGUGCCGUCGCGCUGUAGAAGGACUCUGACGAAAUGCCUCUCAUCACCCCGUCUUGAAACACGGACCAAGGAGUCUAACACGUAUGCGAGUGUUGGGGUGGCAAACCCCGGACGCGGAAUGAAAGUAAAGGCGCCUGGCGCUGAGGUGGGACCCGCUCCCUCGGGGGCGGCGCACCAUCGACCGACCAUGAACUCCUGUGAAAGGUUUGAGUAAGAGCAUAUAUGUUGGGACCCGAAAGAUGGUGAACUAUGCCUGAAUAGGGUGAAGUCAGAGGAAACUCUGAUGGAGGCUCGCAGCGAUUCUGACGUGCAAAUCGAUCGUCAAAUUUGGGUAUAGGGGCGAAAGACUAAUCGAACCAUCUAGUAGCUGGUUCCUCCCGAAAUUUCCCUUAGGAUAGCUGCAACCGAACAGUUUUAUCAGGUAAAGCGAAUGAUUAGAGGCCUCAGGUGUGGAAUGCUCUUGACCUAUUCUCAAACUUUAAAUGGGUAAGAACCCUGGGUUGCUUAAUUGAACCCGGCGGUCGAAUGACGGUUGCUAGUGGGCCAAUCUGGGUAAGCUAGAUUGGCGAUGCGGGAUGAUCCGAACGUCAAGUUAAAGUGCCAAAGUAUCCGCUAACCUAGAUCCCACAAAAGGUGUUGGUUCAUUAAGACAGCAGGACGGUGGCCAUGGAAGUCGGAACCCGCUAAGGAGUGUGUAACAACCCACCUGCCGAAUGAACUAGCCCUGAAAAUGGAUGGCGCUGAAGCGGAUCACUUAUACUUGACCAACACAGCAAAUGCGAGGCUGUGUUGAGUAGGGGGGCGUGGGGCUCGUUGUGCAUUCUGUGGCGUAAGCCGGGAUGAAACGGGCUCUAGUGCAGAUCUUGGUAGCAGUAGCAAAUAUUCAAAUGAGAACUUUGAAGACUGAAGUGGAGAAAGGUUCCAUGUGAACAGUAAUUGGACAUGGGUGAGUCGAUCCUAAGAGAUAGGAGAAUUCUAUUUGAAAGCGGUCCUUCCUCGGAUGGACCCGGCUAUCGAAAGGGAAUCGGGUUAAUAUUCCCGAACCAGAACGUGGAUAAUGAGUGGUAACACAAACGAAACUGGGGACGUUGGCGAGAGCCCCGGGAAGAGUUCUCUUUUCUUUUUAACGGCU
rnacentral:rRNA from 1 species